AGAUGUGAGGGCAAUCUGGCUGCAACAUCUGUCACCCCAUUGAUCGCCAGGGUUGAUUCGACUGAUCUGGCUGGCUAGGCGGGUGUCCCAUUCCUCCCUCACUGCUCCAUGUGUGUCCCUCCUGAAGCUGAGUGCUCGGUUGAAGAGGACGGUCUUCCCCGAAUAGAGACCCGAAUAGAGACUGACUGGUCUUCGGUCGAGGGUAUACGAGUAGCUGCGCUCCCCUGCUAGAACCUCCAAACAAGCUCCCAAAAUGGAGACCCCAAAACUUCAUCUACAAUACUCUUGCCUUUAGGUUCAUGAUUAGUCAACAAUUUGUUCGCUUUAUAACUU
ensembl:misc_RNA 7SK 7SK RNA